AGCUGUGGGAGGCAGGUAGCGCUGGCUUCUCGCGGACCCCCGCCCCGCCCCCGCUAGGGCCCGAGCCCCCAGCGGCCGCCGGAGCUGGGGAGGCCGCCCCGCGCUGCGGGCCAGGGCCCCGACUUCCCCGGGCGCGGUCCCGCCGGCCGCCGAGCUCCGCAGGCAGGAGCGCCGGGGCGAGCUGAGGGCCCGGAGUCAGGCUUGUGCGACGUCCCUGCCCCCGGCUGCCCCCCACUGCAAGCCGGGGGCUUGGCUGACCGGCUCGGGUCUUGUGUCGCAGCCGGCCCCGGCUCGCCCUGCUGGCCAGCUGAGCCUGCCUUCGGGGCCUGGGGCAGCCCGCUGGGGAUCUUGCCCUUCUGGAGGCUAACGUCCCCAGCGCCUCGCCAUGGCCGGCGCCAUAGCCUCUCGGAUGAGCUUCAGCUCCCUGAAGAGAAAACAGCCCAAAACCUUCACUGUGCGGAUUAUUACCAUGGACGCCGAGAUGGAGUUCAGCUGCGAGGUGAAGUGGAAAGGGAAGGAUUUGUUCGACUUGGUAUGCAGGACACUAGGACUCAGAGAAACCUGGUUCUUUGGACUUCAGUACACAAUCAAGGAUACCGUGGCCUGGCUCAAAAUGGACAAGAAGGUCCUGGAUCAUGACGUUCCAACAGAGGAGCCCGUCACUUUUCACUUCCUUGCCAAAUUUUACCCUGAGAAUGCGGAGGAGGAGCUGGUUCAGGAGAUCACACAGCACUUGUUCUUUCUGCAGGUAAAGAAGCAGAUUUUAGAUGAGAAGAUCUACUGUCCUCCUGAGGCAUCUGUGCUGCUCGCCUCCUAUGCCGUCCAAGCCAAGUAUGGUGAUUACGAUCCCACUGUUCAUCAGCGUGGCUUCUUAGCACAAGAGGAGUUGCUUCCAAAACGGGUAAUUAACCUGUACCAGAUGACUCCAGAAAUGUGGGAGGAAAGAAUAACAGCCUGGUAUGCAGAACAUCGAGGCAGAGCAAGAGAUGAAGCUGAAAUGGAAUAUUUGAAGAUUGCUCAGGACUUGGAGAUGUAUGGAGUAAACUACUUUGCGAUUAGGAAUAAGAAGGGCACUGAACUGUUGCUUGGGGUUGAUGCACUGGGUCUUCACAUCUACGACCCAGAAAACAGGCUGACCCCCAAAAUCUCUUUUCCAUGGAACGAGAUCCGGAAUAUCUCUUACAGUGAUAAGGAGUUUACAAUUAAACCAUUGGACAAAAAGAUCGAUGUCUUUAAAUUCAAUUCAUCAAAGCUGCGUGUGAAUAAGCUGAUUCUUCAGCUGUGUAUUGGAAACCACGAUCUAUUUAUGAGGAGGAGGAAAGCAGACUCAUUGGAGGUGCAGCAGAUGAAAGCACAAGCCAGGGAGGAGAAGGCUAGAAAGCAGAUGGAACGACAGCGGCUGGCUCGAGAGAAGCAGAUGAGGGAAGAGGCAGAGCGAACAAGGGAUGAGUUGGAGAGGAGGUUGUUGCAGUUAAAGGAGGAGGCGACAAUGGCCAAUGAGGCUCUGAUGAGAUCUGAAGAGACAGCAGACUUGCUGGCUGAAAAAGCCCAGAUCACAGAAGAGGAAGCCAAGCUGCUGGCUCAGAAAGCAGCUGAGGCGGAGCAGGAGAUGCAGCGGAUCAAAGCCACGGCAAUCCGGACAGAGGAAGAGAAACGGUUGAUGGAACAGAAGGUCCUGGAGGCAGAGAUGUUGGCGUUGAAGAUGGCAGAAGAAUCGGAGAGAAGGGCAAAGGAGGCUGAUCAGCUAAAGCAGGAUCUUCAGGAGGCUCGAGAGUCCGAGCGGAGAGCAAAGCAGAAGCUCUUGGAGAUCACCAGCAAGUCAUCCUACAUGCAGCCCAUGAACUCGGGUAUGACAGCGCUGCCUGCCGACCUGCCAAGUUUCAACCUCAUCAGUGAGAGCCUCUCCUUUGACUUCAAGGAUACAGACAUGAAGAGACUUUCCAUGGAAAUAGAGAAAGAGAAAGUGGAGUACAUGGAGAAGAGCAAGCACCUGCAGGAGCAACUGAACGAGUUGAAAACAGAGAUUGAGGCGCUGAAACUGAAGGAGAGGGAGACAGCGCUGGAUAUACUGCACAACGAGAAUGCUGACCGAGGCAACAGCAAACACAACACUAUUAAAAAGCCUCAAGCCCAAGGCAGAAGACCUAUCUGCAUUUGAGACUUCAAAUGUCUAGCCAUAAUUGAGCAUAUGUCUGUGAAGGUUGUCCACUGCUCUAAACAUUUCUUCAUGGGAGGUCCAGGCCAGAUUGGCCUAGAGCAGCUCACCUUGCAGAGCACCAAGUCCCGCGUGGCCUUCUUCGAGGAGCUCUAGGAGGUGACCCAACCAUCAUGCACUGCUGCUUCCAGCGAGCCAGCCACCUGCCAGCCAGAACCUCCUUCAGCAAGGCCAUGUAGGCACAUCCCAAUGGCUGGGGAUGGAGCCCCUCUAUCUGCUGGCUGGGUGCAUUCUGGGACAUGAUACUGCUCCUGUGCAAUGGACUUGGUCCGUCAGCAGUCCGUGGAUUUCAGCGUGAUGUUCUCUAGUUUAGUCUAUCCUAAUCCCCCUUGUAGGUUUUUAACUAGCUACCCUCUUCUGCCAUUUAUAAUGCAGAGAUGUGGUAUCCCUUGCAGUCUUUUUAAGCAGCAUUUGUAUUUGGUUGUGACUGUCAUGUGUCCUCCUGGGAGAUGGUGAGCAAGUGCAUGUGCCUUGGAAGGGGUGCCUUUCCCUUCCAGCCCUGCUUUAGGGAAUGCCACAAAUAAUGUGCGUUCCUGCAGGCGAAGAUUUGGCUCCUCUGGCAGUUCAGGAGCCAGGGUCUGGGAUGUGUGCUACCCUCUCCAGACCCCCAAACCUUGCAGUACUUCUGCCUGACUUUCAGUGGGGUUGAGUACCUGUAGACUCAAUUGGUGACGCACACACUGGUGUAAUGGAAUGCAGUAAAUCAGUGGUAUAGCCUCACCUAAGAGAGCGUGGUUAGGCCUAGUCUUCCCGCCUACUAGAGGAUCUAACAGACAUAGAAGGGGUUCAGAGAUAGGCCAUGGGAAUAGAUUUGGAACGACUUCUGUAGGAGGAGAGAUUGAAAAGACUCUGGCCGUUUACCUUAGAGAGUUGCCAUAUAGAGGGGACAUUACAAAGGUGUGCAAACUAAUGUAUGGGAUGGAGAAGGUUGAUCUACCCUCUCUGGUAUGAUCUAAGAGCAAGGGCAUAGUCAAGGAAACUGAAAAGUGGGCUAUUCAGCACUGAUCAAAGGAAAUACUUUCCCACACAGUGUGCAAUGAGCCUCUGGAACUCCUUGCUACAAGAUUCUAUUGACACCAAGAAAUUUGCAGCAUUAGAUCUUUGUCUGGAUACAAAAACAGCCAGAAAUCUAGCAGUGAACAUUUAAAAAGUGAAGGGGUUCUGGACGGGAUAUGAACCUUCAUGCUUGUGCCUAGAAGCUGACCUCUAAAUAAUGUAAAUCAGGAGGGAAUUUCCUCUCAGCCUUGGUCAUCCCAUAGCUACCUACUGUAGCCUUCUUUUCACUUUCCUCUGAAGUAUCUGGCACUGGCCCCUGCUGGAGAUGGGCUAGAUGGACCAGGGGUCUGAUCCACUGUGUCAGUUCCUGUUCAUGGGAGCUUCAUGUGCUCAGCCUCUCUGCACAUCACCUCCCUUGCUCCAUUUUGACUCCCCUGGUAGAGUGAUAACCAGCAUCCUAUGAGCUGGGACUCCACUGAGAGCAGCCCCAGCAUCUCUUUGCUGCUGAGUCCUGUUCAGCAAUGUUCUCUCUAAUUUUUGACAGGCCAUAUGCGCAAAAAAUUUCUUUUGUGCAAAUUUUUGUGUGUGUUGUGUUUCGCUGUGUGCGUGGGGUUUAGGGUCUGUGUGCGCACGCGCAGCUUAAAGGGAACAGUGCUGUUGAGUGAGAGUGGCAGGAGCAGCCUUGCUCUGGCUGUGGCAGAGCCUAUGGCUUCCAGUCCCUGAAGGAGCAUGCUGUGAACACUCAUGCGUCCUGUGCCUGCCAUGAGACAGAGCCAAGCAACAGGGUUGAGGUACUAAAGCAGCCAAGGCGAUGCUGGCUACUAAAUGAAGUAGCUCUCUCCUAGCGAGGGACUCUAGACAGCUAUGUCGAAGAAGUCAGUGGCAUCCUCAGCUCUUGAAAGGGCCUAGGUCUGCUGCCUUGGGAGAGAGGAGUAGCUCCUGGCACAUGCUUUGUCAUCCCCCUGCCUCCUUUGCCAGUGCUAGCUCCCGUUCUGCCCUUCUUUGUAUUCUCUGUUUGGGGGAUGAGUGGGGAGAGAUGCUAGAAAUCGCUUGUAAUUUAUCUUCUAGGUGCUGGAAGUUGGGGUGCUGCCGCACCCCCGGCUUGAAGUAGUUUCCACUAUAUCCGGGGUUUACAGUUUGGUUCAAUGCCUCCCAGCACUUCCACUAUACAAAUUGUUCCAGCACCACUGUUGACAGCCCCUCAUAUAAUGCACUUAUGAACUAUUGGGCCUUGCCUUUGUGUAAUGGCCUCUGGUCUACCCUUCUCCACCCCCCCACCCCCCCCACUACCUACCAUAGGCAGCUAUUAUCCCAUAAGCUCACCCCUUUCCUGUUCUGUGUUUUGUCCUGCCUCACCAUAAAGCUUUCAUGCCCUGGUGGUUAUAUUCGUUACAUAUAAAGAAAUACACUAUUCAACCCUUAAAUGCUGCUGUUUCCCAGACUGCCAGCCAGUUUGAACCGUGCAGCUUCUAAAAGGUUAAUCCAGGUGCUCUCCUGGAAUGCACAGUGUCCGCCAAGGCCCAGGUUUAAAGCAGGAUCUUUCCUGUGACUUGGGGACACUUGGAGUGUAGGGAAGCAUGAUUCCUCCCUGUGCAAACAGCAUUGACUCCCUAUGUCCUCUUGUCGAUGCUGCAAGGACAACAAGUGUUAGACAGGUCUCCUGCUGGACAAGUGCUUCAGUGUCAUACCAAUGGGUGGUCUUUAAUCCCACCUACCCAUACAUCCUGAAGUCUAGAGUGGGAGCUUCUCACACAUAUACCACCCUCAAGUGUUAAUGCCAUGAUGCUAAAUGUUUGUGUAUCUUUUGUAUAAAUGUUCUUUGCCACCCUAGAGAGCAGGAAGACCACCCAAUGGUCCCAGCAGAAAGCCUUGCAGGUAGCAAUGAGGUAUCUCACAGGUUGGAGCAGGCUGCAAAGUUGCAAUAACAUUGGGCGACGGAUUAGCUUUUCUCUUGGGCUGGCUCAGUUCAGAUGGCUGGAAUUAAGUCCCGCUCGGAGUCUCCAUCCUAAAUCCUACUUUUUAGGGGGUUUAUAGAUCAGCUGUUAACACUCCCUUGGGGCUAUAACCUCAGCAGGUCUGGGCUUGGCUUAGGAGCAGAGAGAUGCUAAAUUUAAAGGGGAAAAACUGUUAAGCCAUUUUCAAGUCAUAAGAGCAGAAAAGUGAUCUGAGCUGAGGAGUUGAUUUCCAGGCUUGGCUGUGGGGCACAAUACAGCCUUUGCAGGAAACUAAACUGCAGGCAUGUAUUGCAUUGAUCUGUAGCACAUCCCUCUGGCUAAUUCAAGAAGAGCUCUUGCCUGGCUCUGAGGGAGCCCUAGCUGGUUCUCCACUCUAGAGGGGGCAGCGUGAGAUGAGACAGUAAAGGAACAAAAGGGAAGAGGGGGAAGAAAAUCUUUUAAUUAAAAGGUGCUUUUCCAUC